rnacentral:rRNA from 1 species
UACAUGUGGGGCAAGCGUUGUUCGGAAUUACUGGGCAUAAAGAGCUCGUAGGCGGUGUGUCGCGUCGGCCGUGAAAACCUGCAGCUUAACUGUGGGCUUGCGGUCGAUACGGGCAUCACUGGAGUUCGGCAGGGGAGACUGGAAUUCCUGGUGUAGCGGUGAAAUGCGCAGAUAUCAGGAGGAACACCGGUGGCGAAGGCGGGUCUCUGGGCCGAUACUGACGCUGAGGAGCGAAAGCGUGGGGAGCGAACAGG